UUCCAUAAUAUGAAUUGUUAGGGGAGUUUUUCACUAGGGAGCAUUGAAUAUUAUGGGACUUUUUUUCUAGAGUAACACCUUUGUGAGAGACACACCAUAUAUUCACCCAAAACCUUAAGGUGAUGGGUGGGUGGAUUCUCUCACUUAUGAAUGCUCAAGUCUCCAUAUUUCCAACCAAUGUGGGACUAUUACCCACACUACUCAC
rnacentral:lncRNA from 1 species